UGCAACAUUUCAUACAAAAGUUCCUUUGCUCUCACAUAAUUUCCUACUUUACAUAAGCCAUUUAUGAUAGCAUUGUACGUGAAAAGCUCAGGUUUCAACCCCUUAGAAGACAUAGAGUUUUUUAACUGAAAAGCUUCUUCAGGAAGCCCUUCACGACAAUAUGCAUUGAUUAGUGUAUUAUAUGUCACAAUAUCUGAAAACAACCCCUUCUCUUCCCUAUCUGAUAAGAAGAAUUUAACGCUAUCAAUUUUGCGAGCUUUGCAUAAGGCAUUGACCAUUAUAUUCGGUGUAUAAACAUUUAACUGAAUCCCACUGCUAACAACUUCCCCAUAUACGACCCAUGCCAAAUCAAUCCACCCGACCUUCACAAGCCCGCCAAGAGGACUAUUGCAAGCAUUUAUCAAAACACAAACUCCCUUGCUUCUAAACAGCUGAAACGCCUCAAAUCCUUCUCUCAACUUCUUAGCCUGCACAUAAGUUCUAACAAACAUAUCAAAGACCAAAGAACUUGAGCCGCAACUGCUAUAAGUUGAAACCAAAGAGUCUGCUACUUCAACACACGAAAUGCCACUCUUUCUAACCAUUCUAAGAAUCAGAGCUUGUGCAUCCGACGCUGUUCGACCACGCACCAACAUGUGAAUCAUUGCACUCAAAGACAGUGAUGAAUGCUUAAAAUCAGGACUAUUUAACAGAAUCAAAUCAAUAAACUUCAGACCCAGUUGCAAAUUUUCACGGCAGCAAGAAAGAACAACAACAAUAAGAGACGGGUUUAACCGAAACAGAAAGCUGCGCAAAGAGGUGAGGUUACCUUGCUUCAGACCUAAUAAAAUCUUUUCCACCAAAAGAGAAUCUGAUAAAGAAGCUGAUGGCUUGUACUACUACAGGGUUCUUGUGAUUGCAUACUUUUAAGACCAAGUUCCAGGUCAUUUGAUGGACAAUAUGCUAAACAAUGAGGUCUAUGAGAGUGAAAGAGUGAGUGUUCGUUGGUUUUGUGAAGGUUGUGCGGGUUCUCGGACCUACAUUCUCAAAAUUAGCCAAUGGGUUUGCAUGUUUGAAACUAUAAUUUUGUUUGUUAUUAAUUUUAUUCUAAGAUGGGUGGAUAUAGUGAUGACAUUAUCCUGACGGUAUGUUAUCUUUCAUCUAAAAUAAUCAUCUUUUAUCUUCAUCACUCACUUAUUCUCUGAAAUCUCUAAUAUAGGAUUGCAUUUAUCAACACUCCUCAAUAGAACCUGUCUUUUAUGGGCCACAUGUGCAACCAACACUCACUUUUUCUCAAGUAGCACAAGAUUGUCAUGAAAUUGUCGUUAGGUUGGGCCGGAUCGAGAAGAACCCGCUUGAUACAAUUCAAGAUAUAAGCCUAGUGGCUCAUUAUUAAUCACACCCAUAUUUUCCUAACAUAAUCACAUGUACAACUUUGCAGGCGUUCAGUUUUAUCACAAUCAACCUUAGUGAAAAGGGGAGACAUUUAAUAUAAUUUGUUAUUUAUUCUGCCAAGUGUUCGUUGUGAAUUAAUACGAAUUAAUAAUUUGGUCAAGUUGACUGAAUUGUAAUCAACUUUAUAACUAAUAUAUUCUAAACAUUCAAUGGAUAUGCUUCCUGCGGGUUAGAAUUUCUUGAUCAAGCAUGCGUCAUUGGAGCCGAUUCAAACGUUGCUAUAUACUAUCACCUUCAGAAAAUAGAUUUCUAUUACUAUCAGACAUGCAUAUAAAAAUUCAGUUCAAAUAUCAUGUCUCCAUCUUAUGUUUGUUAGCUAUUUCCUUUCUAGCUAGGUCAUCAUCAGUUAAACUUUCAUGAAACUUAUUCUCAUUAAAUUAUCAAUGAUAACAUUGAAUUUCAACCCCCUUACCAAAACAAAAGUUUUGUUAUACAUUUCAUCGAAAUUGCCAUUGAGGUCACAAUACGUAUUGAGAUGUGAUACUAAAACACAUAUAAAUUGUAGUUGAAAAAACAGCAAUGUCACUCAUGUCAAGUUGAAGGUAAUAAUUUUCUUUUUUUUACAUUGAAUAAUCAAAAUUUCUUUGCUCUAGAUGUGAUCGUUGAAGAAUGCUCAAUCUUACUUCUGAAAUUUAGAGAGAAAAUAAAAUAAAACUUAUAGGGAAUGGUUUUACUAUUAAUUGAACCGAGGUCUAUCGGAGGAUCAUCCUCGUCAACAGAUGUGGUGCCGUGCAUAGGAGGCGGCAUAAUUACAUUGUGGUUGUGUUAAUGUAGCCAUAAUAGUGGUAAAAUGAUUUGGUCGAGAAGUUCUUGAGUUCAACUCUCAAUGAAAGUACCAGUUGUUGAAACCAAAUAUGUGUGUCGUCGUGUGUGCUGGAGAUGCUUAAGCUCGUUAACUUGUAAAAGAACAAACGACUGAAAGGCAAGCUAGAGACCGAAGGGGUGUGUGUCUGUGUGAUGGCUAAAGGUUAUCCGACGUCAAGUCAGUAAGCAAUAUUAGGACUCAAGUAGUGGGUAAGAGAAUAAGUGUGCAAAGAUAGCGUUACCAAACAUGCCAUUUUUAGGGUGUAUUUAGACAAAUAGAGGAGAGGACCUUUUAGGAUAGUAAAAUCCUUAUUAAACCAGAAGAAUCCCAGAGGAUAUCUAGGAAGUAGAUAUUGAAUCCUCUUAGGAGUGUAUUUACUUGCGGUGCAUGUCAAUCCUUAGAUGGUAAGGAAUCCAAGAUUAUAGAAAACCUGAUGAUUCCAUACUGGAUUGGGUUCUUGAAUCUUAUGGAACAAGCAUGGUUUAUUUCAAUGAAGUCGAUGGACUUCGCCCGCUGAUUCCAAAACAAGAUGAUUGUGGCAUCACUGAACCGUUUAUCAGCUCUACAAUGGAGGGUGUUGAGUCUAUGGCUGGACUACUAAGGUAGACGUCUUCCAAUCCGUCUUACUCUGGCUCUGAAAAAUCAUGAUCCCACAGUAAACAAUCAAAACUACUAGUUCAUUUUUAUAAGAAUAUUACUUGUAUAAAUGUCGAAUCCAUCAAUGAAUAAGUUUCAGAUAAAAAAAAAUGCGAUAACAUAAAUUUGGACGGCAAUUUCAUAAUACAUUCAUUAAGCUUGAUUUACUAGUACAAGUUAUUAUUAAAUAACAAACUGAUAUACCAACUACUGUAUGUCUCUUUCGCAUUGUUUAAAUAAUGAAAAAUAAUAAUAGAUAAGUUAAUACUAGAAAACUUCAAUAAUUCCCUGCCUAACAAAUAUAAUAGUAAGUUUCAUGUAACUCAAACUUCAUUAGCUAAGCAUGGAAGAAAAAAAAAAGUUAAUAAAUAAAUUUCUCUGUGAUGAUAAUCAAGACUUCAUACUCAAUGUAAUCAGGAAUAAAAUCAUUUAAUAUAAGUUGUCAUUUAUUUUUUGAAAUUUCUGAUAUAAGAUUGUAUUAUUCAACGCUCCUCCUCAAUAGCGCCUGUCUUUGUGGGCCACAUGUGCAACCAAUUUCACAUUAGUAGCCUUUUAUUUUGUUUCUUUCUCUCAAGUAGCGGUAGAUUGUCAUAAAAAUUGUCGUUAGCUUGGGCCGGAUUGAGGAGAAUUUGCUGGAUACCAAUUCAAGAUGUAAGGCUAGUGACUCAUUAUUAAUCACAUUGAUAUUUUCCUAACUUAAUCACAUGUACAGCUUUGUAGGUGUUGAGUUUUAUAACAAACGACCUUAGUGAAAAGUAGAGCCAUUUAAUUGUCACGUCCUAAUCCCGACAUAUGUCCAGGACCGACACGUGACAUCAUCAAAUACACAUAAAUCUAACAUACCUUGCUUCCGGGAUAUGUACCAAACUCAACUCAUGCCUCAAAAUUUCCAAUAUCAUUCACUAACCACCAAUGCGACAAUUCCAAUCCCAUAACAUCAUUUCCAACAUCCACAAGUAUAGGCACUUGGACCUAAUACCUAAGCUCUAAUACCACCAAAAGUUGUCACCAACAAUCCCACGGCGCUGUCGCCGCCAUACACCAUGAAACGGCUUGAAUUGCAUCGAAUUUUUGGGUGAUCAACUAGGGAAGAGAGGUGUAAUGGUGUUUGUAGGUGGUGGGAGGUCAUAAAACACCGGAAAUUGGACUGAAAAACCCGUCAGAAUUGGCAGCAGGGGCGCGGGUCGGGUCGGGGUGUACGGUUCAAAGGGAAAAAGGUCCGAGUUUAGUGCUUCUCAAAAGUUGUCACCAAGAAUCCCACGAUGUUGUCGACACCGUACAACAUGAAACGGCCUAAAUUGCAUUGAAUUUUUGGGCGAUCAACUAGGGAGGAGAGAUGUAAUGGUGUUUGUAGGUGGUGGGAGGUCGUAAAACACCGGAAAUUGGACUGAAAACCCAUUGGAAUUGGCAGCAGGGGCGCAGGUCGGGUCGGGGUGCAGGGGCCAAAGGGGAAAAGGUUCGGUUUAGUGCUUCUCACUUCCCUCAUUUCUCUCCGUGAUCUCCCUCCUGAUUGGGUACUCAACCUUUCCUCCUCCUUCUGAUUCAUCCGCCCCCUCAUUUUCUCUCCUUUCCUUUCCAUCUCAGCCACAUAAGUGGCAUCACAGAUAAAUGCUCCAGCCAUCUGGAGCCUUCUAGAUUAGGUUAAAAUUAUAAAAAUAUCAUUGACUUUAAACGUUAAUAACUUCAUUGUUAUAACUCCGUUUCACGAACGGUUUGAACCUACCCAUUCAUGAGAUCGAGCUAUAUUCAAAAAUAUAAAUUGUGACCUUGAAAGGUCUACAAAUUUUAAAUAAUUAUUUUCCAAACUUCAAACUUCGUAACUAGUUAGAUUAAAAUCUAAAUUCCAACAAAUUAAAAUAAAUUUUCGAAAAAUAUUAUAAAAUCUCAAUAAUAAAAAUACGUAUAUUAUUUCACAUUAAUAUAAUUUGUUAUUUAUUCUGUCAAGUGUUCAUUGUGGAAUAAUACGAAUUAAUAAUUUGGUUAAGUUGACUAAAUUAUAAUAAACUUUAUAACUAUAUCUAUUCUAAAUAUUCAAUGGAUAUGCUCGCUGCGAGUUAGAAUUUCUUGAUCAAGCAUGCGUCAUUGGAGCCGAUUCAAACGUUGCUGUAUACUAUCACCUUCAGAAAAAAGAUUGCUAAUACUAUCAGACAUGCAUUUAAAAAUUCAGUUCAAAUAUCAUGUCUCCAUCUUAUGUUUGUUAGCUAUUUCCUUUCUAGCUAGGUCAUCAUCAGUUAAACUUUCAUGAAACUUAUUCUCAUUAAAUUAUCAAUGAUAACAUUGAAUUUCAACCCCCUUACCAAAACAAAAGUUUUGUUAUACAUUUCAUCGAAAUUGCCAUUGAGGUCACAUUACGUAUUGAGAUGUGAUACGAAAACACAUAUAACUUGUAGUUGAAAAAACAGCAAUCUCAUUCAUGUCUAGUCGAAGGUAAUAAUUUUCUGUUUUUACAUUGAAUAAUCAAAAUUGCUUUGCUCUAGAUGUGAUUGUUGGAGAAUGCGCAAUCUCACGUCUGCUACUUAAAAAAAAAAAAAAAAAAAAAUUACAACGUAUGGUCAAUGGUUUUACUAUUAAUUGUAUCGCGGUCUUUUGAGAUCAAAUCUAACACCUUGUUGGAAUGGGUAAAUAAUAAAAUUAGAAAUAUCAAUGUGAUUAGUAGUAGACCGUUGCUCCGACUGUGACAUGUUGAUAGUGAUUCCUUCAUCUGUAUAACACUCAACCCACAUUGACUUGAUUUUGGAAUUAGAUAUCUGUGAUCUAAACUGUUAUUGCAUGGUUUGACCAAGGAGCUAGAUUUAUUGUAAAAAAUAAACUAUCAUAGAAAAUCUGCAACAGUACGAGAAAUUUGUAAUGGAUAUUUUAGGUAGAGCAUCUUCAAUCAUUAUUAUUAUUUUCUAAUUUUAACAAAAAAAUUACUAGAGAAUUAGUUUAGAAAAUACUUUAAUAUUAACUAAAAAAGUAAAAGAAAUUAAAAGGGAGAAAAGGAGAAAAAAUUGGUUGUAAGGUCAUCUCCAACGGAAAUGUUAAAUAUAACUCCAUCCAAAAUUAUAGUCUUGUAAAAAAUUAUUUUUAAAUGAACAAUAUUAGGUCAUAUUCAUAUACCAUCUCCAAUUGAAAGAGCUAAACAUAGUCCCUCAAUAACUUAUUAGUUUUAAGUUUAUACUUUAAAUUUAUUGGCUACAUUUUGAUGUGUCAAAUCUAGCCGUUGAAUUUAAAUUAAAUGUUGCAACUAAGGAGUUGGGCCCCCAAAAAGAGGCUAAGAGCCUGAUGCUUUUUUGGCCAAAUAAUGACAUUGUGGGCUGCAUAUAAUUACAUAAUCAUCAGUUGAAGGUGAAUUUUUGGACAAAUUAAGCUUUUUUUUUACUUUUGAAUCUUUAGUCCUCUCCAUUGAAAAUGACCUAAGAAGCUAAAAAGAAGAAGACGGCAUAUGUAACACAAAAACUAAACUCCUUGGAACAGAUAAACCCCAUAUUACAAAAAAUAUAAAAAGAUCCAAUGAAAUAAAAGAUAAACGUAAUUUUUAACUAUCUUAAUAUGAUAGCACUUGACCUCUCAUAGCAAAUUUUAUGACUAGUACAACACUUGAACGACUUGCAUAGAGAAUAUAGUUGUAUUCAGUCAGUUUCGGAAAGGAUUAGCAGGUACGGGUAGAUUGUCACCCUCUCCUUCUAACAUUUGAAUAACAACUUUCAUGGAAGGGCGAUCUAUUGGGUGCCAUUGGACGCACCAUAGACCCACAAUAGCUAGCUUCUUUGCAGUUUCAGCAUCUCCUCCGUCCUCAAUGUGAAUCCGUAGGUCGUCCCCUUGUUCUAAAAGGUUAUAAAUCCAUUCUGGGAAGUAGACUUCGCUGCUGGUGGAGUCCUCUUCCAUGAACUUAAAGUUUUUUCUUCCCCCGACCAUUUCCAGCAGCAACAUUCCAAAGCUAUAGACAUCUGACUUGUAGGACACGUUUCCAAAGUUCCUAGAAAACACUUCGGGCGCAAUGUAGCCAAUGGUCCCUCUGAUGGUAGUCAUGGAUACUGCGCUUUGAUCUCUAGAGCACAACUUGGCGAGACCAAAAUCGGAAACUUUUGGGGUGAAAUUCUGGUCUAGCAAAAUGUUGUGUGGUUUGAUAUCGAAAUGGAGGAUUCGGAGGUCACACCCUUGAUGAAGAUAUUCAAUUCCUUUGGCUAUACCUAAAGCAAUCUCAUGCAACUUAUCCCAACCAAGGAAAGCGCUUUUACUAUCUGCUGAUGAUAAGAUAUUCUGUAGUGAACCAUGUGGUAGAUAUUCAUACACAAGAGCUGUUGUGUACCCAUCAGCACAAAAACCAACCAAGCGAACCACAUUGACAUGGUGGACUCGACCCAUUGUUCCGACUUCAUUUAUAAAAUCUUCUCCUUUUUCAUUAGAAUUGUUGAGGAUUUUCACAGCUACAAGUAAGUCGGAGGAAAGCUGUCCUUUGUACACUGUUCCAUAGGCUCCUUGACCUAACUUUUCAUUGAAUUGAUUUGUUAUCCUUUUAAUAUCAGCGUAGGAAUAUCUACUUGGCUUGUGUGCUAUGUAAUCGUCCAAAAAUCUUUCAAUCCUCAACUGAUUUGUUUUCUCUAUUUUGUUGGAGCUAUAAACACGGUAAAUGAGAGUCCCCACGACUGUUACAACCACAGAAAAUGUGAAAAUACCUGCGGAUACAGAAGAAACUCUGCGUUAAGAACCAACCCAUUUCUAAAUUAAAUUAAAAUAAAUCACAAUUGCCUCCAACUGAUAAAGCCCCCAGAAAUCAGAACUGAAUUUAUAUUAAUACUUAUACAUAUAUAGGGUACUUUUGUGCGGAAUUUAACGUGUCUUUUAUCGGGAUGCUGGCACUGAGUUUUGAACUCAUAAGGUUUUCUUGUACCUUAAAAGAAGAACCCUUUCAAGGAUGGGAUCCAAAACUUGAAAAACAAAUGAUGAAAAUUGGUGCCCAUUGAAGCAAGUUCCGACUAGGACCCUAAAAUAUAACAUACUGGCAUGAGUUUCAAUAAUCCAAACCGUCUUGGAUUUAGCUCUCCAUCUAAGAUUUAUGAUUAUGGAUCACACAAGUGUGCAAAAAUUAACCUAACUAUUAGCAGUUCAAAACUUCAAAUUCAAUCUUGUAAAAAUAGUGCUUAUGUGAACAACUUACCAGAUAUCUCUAAGCUUGUCCUUCCACGGGUACUAUCUGUAAAAGCAGGUUAAUUAAGUCAAUAAUUAGUACUUUUGUUAUCAAAAGAAUAAAAUACUUGAAGAAUUGUUUGCAUAAAUCUUUGUUUUCAUUUAAUAUAAAAAGUUCGAAUAUAUUCUUUGAGUCCAAAUUUGUUGUAUAUAUUAUCUGCACAAACUAGCUAAUUAAAACCUUGUCAAUGUGAAAAGGAGGGAAAUAUUUGCCGGCAAAGUACUGCAACAAGUCAAGUUAAAUGGGAGAUUAAAGGAUACCUUCGCUCACGCAUUCAGUUUCUGCAGUCUGAUUAUCUGUGAAAUUAUAUUGACCAAUAGUUCUUUUCAGUCUGCAAGUCUUGCCCAUCUCUUCGCAACGUCCACAUGAUGGUUUGGACCACUGCAGCAUCAUAAGGUUGAAUGCUCCCACUGAUGAAAUUUGUGGAAUUGAUUUGUAAUCACGCAGCUUGGUACAAGACACUAGGUUCAUGUCAUCAAUGGAACACUGGCCGUCGACAGCAUAGUAGUUAGUUUGGUUUUCAGGAUUGUCAACGCCGUAAGGGCACAGUUCAAUACGACAAUAUACGUCCGUUUCAAGUAAUGGUGACGGACAACUGAAUAAAGUAUAAUUAGUAUUAAACGGUCCAUGCACAAAUUGAAAGGUCGAGGAAGAUAAGUUGAAUUUGAAAAUAUCUUUCGGCAGGCAAUCAUUUUGGAAAUAUACUCCGAUUUCUUGAGAUGCGUAGUUAAUCGUUUCAACGAUGAGCUUGUUAGAUGAGGAUGGCAUCUCAAGCACGGUUCGGCCGUCGGUGGUGCAUGAUAGAUCAAAGCCAUGGUAACCGCACGAGAAUGGCUGUCCUUUAAGUCGAAAUGGGAAUCGGAUGGCUGGACCGUGGUGUUCACAGUAACUUACUUGCAGUUUUCAGGGACUACUCUGUCGCCAUACACUGUGCUUACAAAUCCAGCAUCUGCUAUCAUGAGAAACCAGCACAAGAAAUUGAUCAGAAGCAUUCUACCCGAUGAGAAUAUUGAUUGUAGAAGUUUGGUAUCUAGGUAAUUCAUAUAUAUGAUUGUAUAUAAGAUAUGGGAUUGCAGAAGUCCCCUAUGUUUUGGGUAAUAAAUAAUAAUCUCUUUUUAUAUUCACCCCUUCGUUCCAUUUCCUACCCCCAAAAACGGUUUUCUAAAUUUUUUGAAUCUUCCACCCAAUUUUGUUUUUAACUUCAAUUUGAAGGACUUGGUCGUGAUUUGCGUAUGGGUUAUUACCAUCGUUAUCAAAUAAAAACUUUUAGUCGCUUUUAUGCAACUGUUACUCGCCGUAACGUGAAACUGGAAUGCUGGAAACUGUUUCUUCCCCAGAUGGGCCAGAUCAACCCAUUAUUAUACAUGUUAUUCCGAGUUAGAUGAGCUGGGUUCUGUGGUCGUGUGGCUUCAAUAUUGGUCAUUCUACAUUGAGUAAUACUAGGUAGAUUAACACUUUAGUAAUAAUCCAAUUAUCAGCUUCCAUGUCAUUCAGUUUACAAAAUUUAUUCUAUAAAUUUAAUCUUCCUAACAUUACCCUUCUAGAAUUUGGAGUUGUCAAUAUAGUUUGGUUGUGCAAAUUUGUUCUCUUUAGUUUAGCCUUGGUUGUUGUUGUUGUUGGAAUUAGUAUUGAUGAGACUUGUGUUUUGCAUAAGUCUUUAAUGUAUUCUUAAAGUUUUUGCGAUAACUAUGGUUGUUGUGUUGAAAAACUAUUUAUUAAAGUUUUUUUUUUCAUUCAAUAAAAGAAAGGUAAGUGAUUUUUACACACGAUUUUUCUUCUCCUACGUACACAUGUAUAUGUACAUUUCUGGCCUUUAAAAAUUAAAAAAAAAGGCAGAAAAAGAAAAGAGUGUUAUGGGAAAAAAAAUUAUAUAUAUAUAUAUAUAUAAUUUUUUUUUUCUUUUUAACAAAGGGAAAGGAUAAUACUUGGAUCUUCCCAGGAAAGUACCUAAUUUACUGACCAUCUUACAUGGCCAAUAAAUUUAAAACACCUAGCAUUUUAACUCUCUUCUAAUAUUUUUCUAUCUCUGUCACCAAACACAUUUUGUACCUGAGAACCCACUCUUCUUCCCAUCUUCUUUCCUUGCCCAGCCCAACCCUUCACCUUCUCCGGCGACCAUCUCCAUGCCUAUCGGGAGUUUACUAAUUGGGCCACAAGUACCCACCGGGGAUAAUACUUAUUGGGCCACUUAAGAGUGAGUAAAUUGAAUAAUACUUGGGUCCUAACCUAUCAGGAUCAAGUGUACGGACCACUGACGUGGUCCAAUAAUAUAAAGAUAUCUGUAAUUUUAAAACGGGAUGUGCUAUUUAUACAUCAUUUUUUACUUUUUACAUACUUUUUAUUAAUUUUUAUCUAUUAAUCUUCUUCAAUUUAUCCGAUUCGACGAUUGAAAAUUAGAAAGAUAUGUGAGAAGUAAAAAAAGGUGUUUGGAUAUCACAACCCUUUUAAAACACCACUAUUCUAGUACCCAAACACCUUAAGUCCUAAACUCAUAACCCAUAACCCACCUCCAGAUUCCCUCCUCAGUCGUCAUCGACCGAUGCCCCACCUUUUCACCGCCUUCCCUCCCCAGCAUCUCUCUCUCAUCAGAGUCUGCCAUUCUUUUGAACUUCAAAGUUCCAAACCUCUUGUCUUCCACAACCUCCAAUUUCGAGGAUUUCCAUAACCCAAUUUUACCGAGCUCAGAUCUGGACGCCGGAGAGGGAUUGAAACUGACGUCGCCGGAGAAAAGAAGGAUUGGGAGUGGUCGGGAGUGAGACGGAGUGCGGGGGUUGCUGGAGAAAGAAGGGUUGAGGAAGAAGACUGGGUGAUUGGUUACAAAAAUAAGCAAGUGUUUGAUUGAGUUUCACUUGACAGGUGGAAUAAUUUUAUUGGACCACGUAAGUGGUCAGCUUGUCAGUAUUAUCCUAGUUUUACUCGUCUCGUGGGUUUGUCUUUGCUUCGUUUGUGAUAAAUAAUGGGCUCCAAGCGGCCAAUUUAUAUCUGAAUUCGCCCCUUUCUUGCCUUAAGCCAAAAACCCUUGCUCCCCAUUAAGCUUUUUUGCCCUCUUCCAUAAUUUUGAUACAUUUAUAUUCUCUUUUGCCAUGUGUAGAGGAAGUCUCUUACUAGUUGCAUAUGGAGCCCUUCUUCUACUCUUUCUUCUUCCCUUUAUUUGUUCCCAAACAUCGAUACCUGAAAAUAAUUCUGUUUGUACUCUUUCUUGUGGCAAUAUUAACAUAAGCUCUCCAUUUCGGUUAAAAGGAGACCCUCAACACUGCGGCAACCCUACGUAUGAGCUAACUUGUGAGGAAAAUGUUACAGUCCUCUACUUUUAUAACCGAAAGUUUUACGCCAAGGCGAUCAAUUACAAUAACUUUACAAUCCGAGUUGUGGAUGCUGCUGUUCAAAAGAAAGAUAACUACUACUCCAUCCCACGUUACUCUUUAACCUCAUCCAGCUUUGGUUAUUGGGAUCCUUACAGCACUUCUAGUCCGACUGACGUGGGGUUCAAAUAGUCCAGAGAUAAGUUACACGGCACGGCCUAUAAUUUUUAUGAACUGUCCAAAUCCAAUGCAUUCUCCUGGCCUUGUAGAAACAGCUCCAUGCGUCAAGGACGGCACCUGCUCUUCCAAUUCUUCUCUGUCCAAUGGUUUAAGAAUGUUUUCUUAUUCCAUCUCUGGCUGGAAUGGCUCUGUAACUUUUUUGGAUUUGGGGGUGUCCUGUGAAAUAACGCAGAUGCUUAUGGUCUCACUUUCGUUAUCCGUACAAGACAUGCAUCAACACUUGACGUCCUGUGAAGGCAUAUAUAGUGAAAUAGCGCAUGGCUUCGAGCUUUCAUGGUUUCACCAGGCUUGUAGCACCUCAAACUGCACAGAUGUGGAGGAAUGUGUGCUCAACAACGUGAGCAAAAUUGAGUGCUUUCGCUAUGAACCCAUAUAUGAACCCAGAAAAGGUAGUGUCUAUUAUUCCUCUUAUUCACAAGGCUAGAGUAACCAAAUUAAUUCAGCAAAUAAUUAGUCUUCAAUUACUGGGAGUCUGUCUGUCUAUGGAGAUUUAGGUUUUACAACUCCAGAAUAAAUUAUGUCAUAUAAAUAUUGACCAGAUGAAUGGGAGAGAAGCCUUUAUUUCUAUUAAGUACGUAUUCGAGGCUAAAUUUAUUGAGGAAGGAUCGCUACCUUUCUUUUUGUACUCUCUCUUUUUACCUUUUUACUUUAUUUUUAAGAUCUUACAUAUUACUUGAUAAUCAAAACUGUUUAUUUUGCAUACCACUAUAAACUAAUACUGCAAAAUACCCCAUUAAUCAGAAUUUAGAAAUCAUUUCACUGUUCGAUUAACGAUGUCAUGAUUUUUUGUUUAACUAAAGCACAUGGUUCACCUUUUAUUGAAUUCAUAUAUUGUUAUUUUUUCUAGUAAUAUUUAGAAAAUAGGCAGUUUGGAAUAUCAAGUAAUAUUGUAAGAUCUUACAAAAAAGUAGAAGGUAAUAAGUGAAAGUACAAAACAGAAAGGUAGCUAGCAUUCUCCUAUGAUAUUAAUUUUCACCUUUUUUUUUCUCUUAAUGGUAAAUAAUAUAUGAUCCUUUAGAGGAAAAAUAAUAUAUAUGAUCCUUAAUGAUAAUUCUUCUUCUUUUGCAAUGCAGAACAUUGGUACAUCAAGAUACUAUGGGCACUAGGCAAGUGGUUUACUCUCUAACGCAGCUUCUAUAUAAUACAUGUGUAGUUAGUUUCUUUAUUUGUGGUCACCUUGAUAUUUAUUAAACUUAAAUUACAUUUGGAAACUAUGAUCGAUAUUCAUCACUUUGCUGCAGAAUUGGUUUUGUACCAGAUGUAUUUGUUCAUCCGCUAUGGACGGUUUAUCCCUAGCGACGUGAUGAGUCAUAAGGCCCUUUACGUGUGUCCGAUAACUGUGGCCUCUCUCCUAGGUAGUGUGAACUACUCGUACUCAGCUAUCAUGCAACUUUUUCUAGCUUCAGAUACUCAUCAUUAAAAAAUGAAUGUUUGAUGAUCACUUUGUCUUUGUUUUCAUUCUUAUUAUUAUGUUUUAGUUAAAGGUUGCAGGGGAAUAUGGAAGAAUAUAUAUGAGAAAGAUGUGAAAAGGACAGGGAGGAUCGAGGUGGAUAGAGAAAUUGUUAGUCUUUGAAACAAUCUCAAAGAGUUUUCCAAUAAUUUUUUGUUUCAUAAAUUCUCCAUUUCUCCAUCAUCCCCCACCCCCAUCCCCAUAUCUUCUUUCUACAAUUUCCCCUCGCCUUUUUUCCUCUCUCUUUUUAGAUUAAAAAUUAAAACUAAAGGAUUUCCAAACAGUUGCUUAAUUAAUGAAAAAUAUUGUUGCACUAAAGGAACAAGUUUGAUGAUAUUACAGCAAUCAAUCUAUUUGGUGACUCCAAUGUUUUUGAAACGUGCAGGACUGUUCCAAGUAGUCAAAUUUUUAUUUGGCUUUCCCUGUUUAAUUGCAUUAAUAAUAUACAAAUGCAAAAGGAGGCACUUGUCCAUGUAUGAAAAUAUAGAAGACUUUCUGCAGAAUAAUCAGCUCAUGCCAGUAAGGUACUCUUACUCGGACAUAAGAAAGAUGGCCAGAGGUUUUAAGGACAAGUUAGGGGAAGGUGGCUUUGGUUCUGUGUACAAGGCAAAGCUUCGCAGUGGCCGUCUUGUUGCCAUCAAGAUGUUGGGCAAGUCGAAAGCCAACGGGCAGGAUUUUAUCAAUGAAGUUGCUACCAUCGGAAGGAUUCACCAUGUUAACGUGGUCCAACUUAUUGGUUUUUGUGUGGAGGGUUCAAAACGUGCUCUUUUAUAUGACUUCAUGCCUAAUGGGUCUCUUGAUAAGCACAUAUUUUCUCAACAAGGAGUUAUCUCCUUAAGUUGCGAGAAAAUGUCUGAAAUCUCACUUGGAGUGGCUCGUGGUAUUGAAUAUUUGCAUCGAGGAUGUGACAUGCAAAUUUUGCACUUCGACAUCAAGCCUCACAACAUUCUUCUCGACGAGAACUUUCUUCCGAAGGUUUCAGAUUUUGGGUUAGCAAGGCUAUGCCCAUUAGAUAAUAGCAUUGUGUCUUUGACUGCAGCGAGAGGAACCCCCGGAUACAUAGCUCCAGAGUUAUUCUACAAAAACAUUGGAGGUGUUUCAUACAAAGCUGAUAUCUAUAGUUUUGGGAUGCUACUGAUGGAAAUGGCUGGAAAAAGAAAGAACUUAAACGUAAAUAUAGAACACUUGAGCCAAAUAUACUUUCCGACAUGGGUUUUCGACCAGCUGAGUGGAGGAAAUGACCUUACAAUCGGAGAUGCUACAGAGGAGGAAAAGAAAAUCAUUAAGAAGAUGAUUAUUGUGGCGUUGUGGUGCAUACAAAUGAAGCCUAGCGACCGUCCUUCUAUGAAUAAAGUAGUAGAGAUGCUUGAAGGAGAAAUUGAGAGCCUUCAAAUGCCUCCAAAGCCUUUCUUAUACCGACAACAAAUGCCAGAGGUGGUUACUGGCGACAGUUCAAGUACCGCAUAAGCUGCAUCGACAACGACAACAUCCACGGAAAUUGUUUUGAUUGCAGAUGAAAAUUCAGAGAAUUAAUAUAGCUAGUAGCAAUGUUGAUGUGCAAAGGAACGUGUAGUGUACCCAAUAAGCACAAAUAGACUACUUGUAUUCAAUGGCAUUGAUUGCUUUCUAGUUUUCAGUUUUUAGCUUUGGUACGUACAAGGAUUAGUUUAUGCACAAAUUGUCUCUCGAUUAGUAUGGAAAAGCUUUAGAUAUAUAAUUUGUGUAUGAGCAAAGUUCGAUAUCUAUAUAUUAUGUUGAAGAAUGCAAUCCUACAUAAGAAACUAAACAAAUUGCACAGCUUAUAUCGAAUGGUUCCAAUUCCAGUUGCAUAUGAGAAGCUUUAAGAGGAGAAGGUACCUGAUCAAGGCGUGGCUAUCUUUGAUUAUUUUCUCAGGAUGUGCAUUUGAAUUCAAAUUAACUUAGAAAGGUAGAACUAAUAUUUAUUCUUCAUACAAAGACUAAAGCAUAUUGCCUUCCAUAUGCGACCCAAUUAAUAUUUAUUGCAAUCAGUAGGCUUAAAAGAGAGUCUCUUUCGUUUGUGCCAUGUUGCCAAAGACAGCGAUUUCUCAACGAAUGGGUCUGAAAGCUAAGCAAACUACAUCCAUUGACACUCUUAAGAAAGUGUUGAAAGCUUGUAACUUCACAUCUGCACCAGUGAAAUCCGCAGUGAUUACCGGAGCUUUGAUAGUCGAUUAGGUCUUGUAGCUGAGGCUUAGGAAGCGUUCAGGGUCAGUCAGACGUCUUAAUCUUAUGGACUCACCGUCAAUUCCAGCUUAUUGUAUAAGUCCUCUGGCAACAAUGUCAGCGUAGUCCAUGAAUCAACGAUAAUAUUGCCCUUUGCUGGAGCCAAUGAAGGGUUCAGUGAACUGUUAUAUUGCAAUCUCUUACGCCCAACGCUCAUUGCUUCAAGCCUUAGAUACUAUAAAGAUUUUGAGCCUCCAGAAAGUAAUGGGGUAGAAACCGCUGUGGUGCCGGAAACCACAGCUUCAAUGCCGAAGCUCAUUGUGCUUGAUGAGUUGAAUCCUGAAAAAGCAUGCACAAGGCAGGAGGAAAAUUUCGCAUCGAUUGAAGAACUCAUCUGAGAGAUGAGGGACACCGGUCCACGUCCAAGCCCAAUCAUGCCUGAUCCAUUUCUGUUAAAGAGGCCUCCAUUGUCUUGUCCACAACCAAACAUCAUUUGUGGGAAUGAAACUGGUUGCCCAGCAGUGGAGUUAAAUGUGACACUUUCUGUGGCUACAACUCACUUGCUGUAGGAUCUGUCCCCGUAAGAAACUGUGUAAUUACAAACUCCAUCUGUGUCGGGAGGAGAAGAGGUUCCGGUCACGAAUUUGCAUUGGCUUGAGUUACGAAGAACUUCUGCAUACGUUUUCAAAUUCUUUGGAUCAAAGAUUGGCGCAUUCUGCUUGUAACAAUGCAGGGCAUACAUUGCGUCCAUGUAAGAUCACUACCUGUAUCUGCAACGCCUAAGAUUUCAAGAGGAGGUGUACCUACUGAUAUUUUCAGGUUUCAACCCCUUAGAAGAAGACAUAAAGAGUUUUUUAACUGAAAAGCUUCUUCGAGAAGCCCUUCACGACAAUAUGCAUUGAUUAGUGUAUUAUAUGUCACAAUAUCUGAAAGCACCCCCUUCUCUUCCAUAUCUGAUAAGAAGAAUUUAACGCUAUCAAUUUAGCGAGCUUUGCAUAAGGCAUUGACCAUUAUAUUUAGCGCUGGUUUGGUAUUGCUGUGCUUUGAAAAAAAAGUUGUUGUGAGAAUAAGCGGCUGUGCUAUGAGAAUAAGUAGCUGUGAAAUAAAUCAGCAGAGUGUUUGGUAAACUUUUUUGUAAAAGUGCUUUUGGAAAAGAAAAAAAACCAAUCUGACCGUGGGUCUUUUCAUUAAAGGAGCACUGUAGCUCUGUGUGCUUUGAAAAAAAACCAGUUUUCCAAAGCUACAAAUAGCAGCUUUAGCUUUUUCCUUUGAUUUCAGCUUAUUCUCACAGCAGCUUCUAAAAUAAGCCAUUUUUUUUCAGUUUACCAAACACCUAAAACCCUCACAGCUUUUUUUCAUGGGUGCUUUUUUUUUAAGCACCUCACUCCCAAACCACCCCUUAGUGUAUAAAUAUUUAACUGAAUCCCACUGCUAACAACUUCCCCAUAUACGACCCAUGCCAAAUCAAUCCACCCGACCUUCACAAGCCCACCAAGAAGACUAUUGCAAGCAUUUAUCGAAACACAAACUCCCUAGCUUCUAAACACCUGAAACGCCUCAAAUCCUUCUCUCAAUUUC
rnacentral:lncRNA from 1 species